rnacentral:rRNA from 1 species
GCAUAUCAAUAAGCGGAGGAAAAGAAACCAACAGGGAUUGCCCUAGUAACGGCGAGUGAAGCGGCAACAGCUCAAAUUUGAAAUCUGGCGCACGCCCGAGUUGUAAUUUGCAGAGGAUGCUUCUAGGCAGCGGCCGUUCUAAGUUCCUUGGAACAGGACGUCAUAGAGGGUGAGAAUCCCGUAUGUGACCGGCGCGCACCUUCGACGUAGCUCCUUCGACGAGUCGAGUUGUUUGGGAAUGCAGCUCUAAAUGGGAGGUAAAUUUCUUCUAAAGCUAAAUACCGGCCAGAGACCGAUAGCGCACAAGUAGAGUGAUCGAAAGAUGAAAAGCACUUUGGAAAGAGAGUUAAAAAGCACGUGAAAUUGUUGAAAGGGAAGCGCCUGCAACCAGACUUCGCGGCAGUGUUCCGCCGGUCUUCUGACCGGUUCAUUCUCUGUCGCGAGGCCAUCAUCGUCUGGGGCCGCCGGAUAAGACUGGAGGAAUGUAGCUCCCCUCGGGGAGUGUUAUAGCUUCCAGUGAUGCGGCGUGCCUCGGGCGAGGUCCGCGCUUCGGCAAGGAUGAUGGCGUAAUGGUUGUCGGCGGCCCGUCUUGAAACACGGACCAAGGAGUCUAACAUCUAUGCGAGUGUUCGGGUGUCAAACCCCUACGCGUAAUGAAAGUGAACGGAGGUGGGAACGCAAGUGCACCAUCGACCGAUCCUGAUGUCCUCGGAUGGAUUUGAGUAAGAGCAUAGCUGUUGGGACCCGAAAGAUGGUGAACUAUGCCUGAAUAGGGUGAAGCCAGAGGAAACUCUGGUGGAGGCUCGCAGCGGUUCUGACGUGCAAAUCGAUCGUCAAAUUUGGGUAUAGGGGCGAAAGACUAAUCGAACCAUCUAGUAGCUGGUUCCUGCC